AAUGUGUGGAGGAUCACAGAGAUCUGAAUGAUGCAGAAUUAAUGAACAGUUUCUCUGGAAGUCAACAGACAAUAAUGUAGCCCUUAAUACAGACUGUGACCAAAUUUAGCGAGUGGAGGAAAGAGCAUGAUAUCAAGUUAAGGAAACAUGGCCUUUCAUGAAGACUAAUGAAGACAAACACUUUCAAGGAAGUGUAACAGGACCUUAAAGAUAUAUAUUUUCUAAUUCUUUCCUCUGAAAAGGCUGAGAAAUGAUUAUCAUGCAGUAGCAAUCAGCAUCCUUAGCACUCGGAUUGUGUCUCAAAACACCAUUUCCCUUGAGAAGGAACCAUAUCUCCUGAAGAAAUGGCUGAUUACAAAUCUGGCACAAGAAAUCUGCAAUAUGAGCCCAGAACAUCAUGUCAUAUCUGGAAGCAAGGAAGCAACUCAAGACUAAUAGAGAUGUGUCCAAAGGACUCAGGAGCCAACCUGGUAGGUUCUCACUGGCCAGUUUGAGAUUCAGUAUUUGAAUUGAAUUAAAAUUCAUUAAAUAAAUUCAUGAAUAAAGUCAUUGGUCACCAUUGGAAUGUUCUAGAGAACCAACUUAGUAUGUUUAAAAUUGGUAAAUAAAGAGAAAAAUUCAGCA